rnacentral:rRNA from 1 species
AGUGGAUGGGGAGCAACCUAGUUGUGCGUGUGUAAAGGUAGUGCCAAGAAAAGCGAUGAUCAUGUUGAAAAUCAAUUCCCGGUACCCGAAACCGACACAGGUGGGCAAGUAGAGAAUACUAAGGGGCGCGAGGUAACUCUCUCCAAGGAACUCGGCAAAAUGACCCCGUAACUUAGGGAGAAGGGGUGCCACCGAGAGGUGGUCGCAGUGAAGAGGCCCAGGCGACUGUUUAGCAAAAACAUAGGUCUCUGCAAACUCGAAAGAGGAGGUAUAGGGGCUGACGCCUGCCCAGUGCCGGAAGGUUAAAGAAGUUGGUCAGUCUUAGGAUGAAGCUAGCGACUGAAGCCCCGGUGAACGGCGGCCGUAACUAUAACGGUCCUAAGGUAGCGAAAUUCCUUGUCGGGUAAGUUCCGACCCGCACGAAAGGCGUAACGAUCUGGGCGCUGUCUCGGAGAGAGGCUCGGCGAAAUAGGAUUGUCUGUGAAGAUACGGACUACCUGCAUUUGGACAGAAAGACCCUAUGAAGCUUUACUAUAGCUUGGAAUUGUGUUCGGGCUUCCUGUGCGCAGGAUAGGUGGGAGGCGUAGAAGGUAUUCUUGUGGGGAUACUGGAGCCAACGGUGAGAUACCACUCUCAGGAGGCUAGAAUUCUAACUUAAUUAAGGACAGUUUCAGGUGGGUAGUUUGACUGGGGCGGUCGCCUCCAAAAAGGUAACGGAGGCGUACAAAGGUUCCCUCAGACUGGUUGGAAAUCAGUCGAAGAGUGCAAAGGCAGAAGGGAGCUUGACUGCGAGAAGUACAGUUCGAGCAGGGUGGAAACACGGUCUUAGUGAUCCGACGGUGCUGUGUGGAAGGGCCGUCGCUCAACGGAUAAAAGUUACUCUAGGAUAACAGGCUGAUCUCCCCCAAGAGUUCACAUCGACGGGGAGGUUUGGCACCUCGAUGUCGGCUCAUCGCAACCUGGGGCGGAAGUACGUCCCAAGGGUUGGGCUGUUCGCCCAUUAAAGCGGUACGUGAGCUGGGUUCAGAACGUCGUGAGACAGUUCGGUCCAUAUCCGAUGUAGGCGUGAGAAUAUUGAGAGGAGCCUUCCUUAGUACGAGAGGACCGGGAAGGACGCACCGCUGGUGUACCUGUUAUGAUGCCAAUUGUAAACGCAGGGUAGCCAAGUGCGGAGAGGAUAACCGCUGAAAGCAUCUAAGUGGGAAGCCCACCUCAAGAUGAGUAUUCUGGUGUAAGGUCACGGGAAGACGACCCGUAAAUAGGCACGAGGUGGAAGUGCAGAGAUGUAUGAAGCCGAAGUGUACUAAUAGACCGUCGGCUUGACCG